rnacentral:rRNA from 1 species
AUUGAACGCUAGCGGGAUGCUUUACACAUGCAAGUCGAACGAGUGGCGGACGGGUGAGUAAUAUAUCGGAACGUGCCCGGUAGAGGGGGAUAACUACUCGAAACGGUGGCUAAUACCGCAUACUAUCGGAGCGCCCCAUAUGGGAUUAGCUAGUUGGUGGGGUAAAGGCUCACCAAGGCAACGAUCCCUAGCUGGUUUGAGAGGACGACCAGCCACACUGGGACUGAGACACGGCCCAGACUCCUACGGGAGGCAGCAGUGGGGAAUUUUGGACAAUGGGGGAAACCCUGAUCCAGCCAUGCCGCGUGUAUGAGAAGGCCUUCGGGUUGUAAAGUACUUUUGGCAGAGAAGCGGUAUCUGCAGAAUAAGCACCGGCUAACUACGUGCCAGCAGCCGCGGUAAUAC